rnacentral:rRNA from 1 species
UACAGAGGAUCCAAGCGUUAUCCGGAAUCAUUGGGUUUAAAGGGUCCGUAGGCGGUUUGGUAAGUCAGUGGUGAAAGCUCAUCGCUCAACGGUGGAACGGCCAUUGAUACUGCCAGACUUGAAUUAUUAGGAAGUAACUAGAAUAUGUAGUGUAGCGGUGAAAUGCUUAGAGAUUACAUGGAAUACCAAUUGCGAAGGCAGGUUACUACUAAUGGAUUGACGCUGAUGGACGAAAGCGUGGGUAGCGAACAGG